CACAGAGGCAGACUUGGGGACUUUGCCAGAUGGGGAUUUAGGUUUCUCUGGCGUCUCCAGCUGGUGGGCGAUGCGUCUGGACGCCCCUCUCCGGAAGGACGGCCUGGUGCCUGUACUAUUGCUCCGCAGUCUGAUGCGUCGCAGGUUGGAAACCACACCAUCUGUGAUCAGGAGCAGAGAUGGCAAAGCGAGGCAUGAUGUCCAGGCUCUGGGUACUGUUCAUCACCAGUGGACUUGCACUGCGCUCUGACUGAGAGGAGCUAGAUGAAGCACGAGGGCGCAGACUGCGAGGGUAACGUCAGUCCAAUUUUUCAAAUGAGUGCAAUCUGUUCAGGGCCAUGGAGAGACCCAGAGCCUUUGCUAGUGUUCACUGUAUAGAAAGCAGGUAACACAACACUUCCAGUGACACACAUGAGCAAAAAGCCUCUUGUCCUACAUGUCAGGCAUCCUGAGAAACCCCCACAUUAUAAAUAAAAGCUUCAAUGUUGACUUUUAGAAUCAUUAAUCAUAAUUAGUAUAAUCCUGAAAGAAUAUUUAUGAGCUAUGAUAUUACACUUCCAUCUCACAUUUUUCAUUUUC